GGGCAUGUGGUGUAGUUGGUUAUCACGCUCGCUUAGCAAACCAUUACCUGCGAGAGGGGUCCGGUUCGAUCCCGGACAUGUCCA